ensembl:lncRNA
GACCAUAAUGAAGGCUGAACAUCAAAGAACUGAUGUUUUUGAAUUGUGGCGCUGGAGAAGACUCUUGAGAGUCCCGUGAACUGCAAGGAGAUCAAACCAGUCAAUCCUGAAGGAAAUCAACCCUGAAUAUUCAUUGGAAGGACUGAUGCUGAAGCUGAAGCUCCACCUGAUGGGAGGAGUCGACUCAUUGGUAAAGACCCUGAUGCUGGGAAAGAUCGAAGGCAAAAGGAGAAGGAGGCUGCAGAGGAUGAGAUGGUAGGAGCUGGCCAAAAGAGGAAAUUGCAGGAGAUUUGGAAGAUGGAGGAGAAGCAGCAGCCAUCCCCCUCCUUCAUUUAUCUCUACUGUACCCCAUCUGCUGCUGCUGCUGCUGCUGCUGCUAAGUCACUUCAGUCGUGUCCCACUCUGUGCGACCCCAUACCCCAUCUAGAAUCCUUUUAGGUCUUUGCUGCUCUGCUAAGUCACUUCAGUCAUGUCCGACUCUGUGCGACCCCAUAGACGGCAGCCCACCAGGCUCCCCCGUCCCUGGGAUUCUCCAGGCAAGAACAGUGGAGUGGGUUGCCAUUUCCUUCUCCAAUGCAUGAAAGUGAAAAGUGAAAGUGAAGUCGCUCAGUCGUGUCCGACCCUCAGCGACCCCAUGGACUGCAGCCUUCCAGGCUCCUUCGUCCACGGGAUUUUCCAGGCAAGAGUACUGGAGUGGGGUGCCAUUAAGACUUUAAAUUUUUUCAUAGACAUUUGACCAUAUAUAUGAAUUAAGAUUUAUUCCUAUAUAGCUUUGUAGAUUUUGAUCCUAUUAUGAAUGGUAUUUUUAAAAAUCUAAUUUUCUAAUUGUUUCCUUUCUCUUUUUUUUUCAAGUUUGUUUUGUCUGGAAAUGGUAGUCAACUUUUUCACCAGUUCUGAGGAUUUAUCUGGAGUGGUUCUUGAUCAGAAAUUUUAUCUCUUAAUUUUGACACACAAGUUAGUUUUCCUUCUGUAAAACAUGCAAAUUCCAUAAUGUAAACCUGGGAUUGUGAUACCGUGUAUUGAUUUUCUUUGACUUAACAAUUAACGUUUAUUUAAUUCUUACUGGAAGCCAUAUGGUCUAUGGAACUGUUUUACAAAGCAUGUGUCAUUGACUAAGAGGAGGUUUUCAUAUUUCAUACUAUAAUUAUUUCUCAGAGAUUCACAAAGGCCCUGAGAAGUCCUGCAAAGAAACCUCUCUACCUCACUUAAACCCUGCAUUCCAAAUUUAUUUCAUCACAGAACUCCUUUUCAGGCAAUACCUUUCAGCCUUCUGAGGAACUGUUUUUAACAAAGAGCUCCCUUUGGGAAUUGAUGGUCUCAGGGAAUAGUUAUUGUGAAAACUGGUUAACUCCAGGAUUGUCGUAAAGAAUCUAUUGUCUCUGUCACUACAUUCUGUGGAAGCUGACCUGGGUAGAACAAGGCUCUAUUUGGCAUUUUCUGAUCCUACUCUUGUGUUUAACAAUAACACCCUAUGGGUUAAUGCUAUCAUGAUAAAAAGAAAGAAAAAUAUGCAUAUUGGUCUUCAUGAG